GACACGGUCCAAACUCCUACGGGAGGCAGCAGUGAGGAAUAUUGGUCAAUGGGCGAGAGCCUGAACCAGCCAAGUAGCGUGAAGGAUGACUGCCCUAUGGGUUGUAAACUUCUUUUAUAAAGGAAUAAAGUCGGGUAUGUAUACCCGUUUGCAUGUACUUUAUGAAUAAGGAUCGGCUAACUCCGUGCCAGCAGCCGCGGUAAUACGGAGGAUCCGAGCGUUAUCCGGAUUUAUUGGGUUUAAAGGGAGCGUAGAUGGAUGUUUAAGUCAGUUGUGAAAGUUUGCGGCUCAACCGUAAAAUUGCAGUUGAUACUGGAUAUCUUGAGUGCAGUUGAGGCAGGCGGAAUUCGUGGUGUAGCGGUGAAAUGCUUAGAUAUCACGAAGAACUCCGAUUGCGAAGGCAGCCUGCUAAGCUGCAACUGACAUUGAGGCUCGAAAGUGUGGGUAUCAAACAGGAUUAGAUACCCUGGUAGUCCACACGGUAAACGAUGAAUACUCGCUGUUUGCGAUAUACAGCAAGCGGCCAAGCGAAAGCGUUAAGUAUUCCACCUGGGGAGUACGCCGGCAACGGUGAAACUCAAAGGAAUUGACGGGGGCCCGCACAAGCGGAGGAACAUGUGGUUUAAUUCGAUGAUACGCGAGGAACCUUACCCGGGCUUAAAUUGCAGAUGAAUUACGGUGAAAGCCGUAAGCCGCAAGGCAUCUGUGAAGGUGCUGCAUGGUUGUCGUCAGCUCGUGCCGUGAGGUGUCGGCUUAAGUGCCAUAACGAGCGCAACCCUUGUUGUCAGUUACUAACAGGUUCCGCUGAGGACUCUGACAAGACUGCCAUCGUAAGAUGUGAGGAAGGUGGGGAUGACGUCAAAUCAGCACGGCCCUUACGUCCGGGGCUACACACGUGUUACAAUGGGGGGUACAGAGGGCCGCUACCACGCGAGUGGAUGCCAAUCCCAAAAACCUCUCUCAGUUCGGACUGGAGUCUGCAACCCGACUCCACGAAGCUGGAUUCGCUAGUAAUCGCGCAUCAGCCACGGCGCGGUGAAUACGUUCCCGGGCCUUGUACACACCGCCCGUCAAGCCAUGGGAGCCGGGGGUACCUGAAGUGCGUAACCGCGAGGAGCGCCCUAGGGUAAAACUGGUGACUGGGGCUAAGUCGUAACAAGGUAGCCGUACCGGAAGGUGCGGCUG
rnacentral:rRNA from 1 species